GACGAACGCUGGCGGCGUGCCUAAUACAUGCAAGUUGAGCGCUGAAGGUUGGUACUUGUACCAACUGGAUGAGCAGCGAACGGGUGAGUAACGCGUGGGGAAUCUGCCUUUGAGCGGGGGACAACAUUCGGAAACGAAUGCUAAUACCGCAUAAAAACUUUAAACACAAGUUUUACGUUUGAAAGAUGCAAUUGCAUCACUCAAAGAUGAUCCCGCGUUGUAUUAGCUAGUUGGUGAGGUAAAGGCUCACCAAGGCGAUGAUACAUAGCCGACCUGAGAGGGUGAUCGGCCACAUUGGGACUGAGACACGGCCCAAACUCCUACGGGAGGCAGCAGUAGGGAAUCUUCGGCAAUGGACGAAAGUCUGACCGAGCAACGCCGCGUGAGUGAAGAAGGUUUUCGGAUCGUAAAACUCUGUUGGUAGAGAAGAACGUUGGUGAGAGUGGAAAGCUCAUCAAGUGACGGUAACUACCCAGAAAGGGACGGCUAACUACGUG
rnacentral:rRNA from 1 species